rnacentral:rRNA from 1 species
AUUCAGGCCUAACACAUGCAAGUCGCACGAGAAAGUCCCAGCUUGCUGGGGCUAGUAAAGUGGCGCACGGGUGAGUAACGCGUGGGUAAUCUACCUCCGAAUUGGGGAUAACAUUGCGAAAGCGGUGCUAAUACCGAAUGACAUCCCCGGGACUACAGUCUCGGUGAUCAAAGGUGGCCUCUACAUGUAAGCUAUUGUUUGGAGAUGAGCCCGCGUACCAUUAGCUAGUUGGUAGGGUAAUGGCCUACCAAGGCUACGAUGGUUAGCUGGUCUGAGAGGAUGAUCAGCCACACUGGAACUGACACACGGUCCAGACUCCUACGGGAGGCAGCAGUGAGGAAUUUUGCGCAAUGGGGGAGACCCUGACGCAGCAACGCCGCGUGAGUGAUGAAGGCUUUCGGGUCGUAAAGCUCUGUCAAGUGGGAAGAACCUGCUUUGUGAUAAUACCACGAAGCACUGACGGUACCACUGAAGGAAGCAUCGGCUAACUCCGUGCCAGCAGCCGCGGUAAUACGGGGGGUGCUAGCGUUAUUCGGAAUCAUUGGGCGUAAAGGGCGCGUAGGCGGUCUCUUAAGUCAGGUGUGAAAGCCCUCGGCUUAACCGAGGAAGUGCAUUUGAUACUAAGAGACUUGAGUAUGGGAGAGGGAAGCGGAAUUCCUGGUGUAGCGGUGAAAUGCGUAGAUAUCAGGAGGAACACCGGUGGCGAAGGCGGCUUCCUGGACCAAUACUGACGCUGAGGCGCGAAGGCGUGGGGAGCAAACAGGAUUAGAUACCCUGGUGGUCCACGCAGUAAACGGUGAACACUAGGUGUAGC